ACACCUUAUCUAUAAUUAAACGGCCAAUCGAUAAAGUUAACCUGAACCAAUUUGUUACUAUCUAUCAUCACAUGUUUAUUUGACCUCUAUUAUUUCUAUCAUAUCCACCUUAAAAAGAAGAAAAUCCUUGUCCAUAUUCUAUUAUUUGUCAUCAGGAAAUUAGAGCCCCAGCCGACAAUUUCCGACCUAGCGGCAUGCAUGUCAUAUAUCAACUUGGUCACCUGGAUAUGAUAAUAUACACAAUAAGAACUGAUUUAGAAAGGAACUGGCACCUGGGUUUGUAUAUCGGAGUUUAGAUUGUCACGGUUAUUAUUUCAUAUGGGACGUCCUAGGUACACUGCUCGGCGAUAAGCAGAAAUCUCCGAGAGAUCUGCAUAGACUUUUAAGUGAUCGAUUUGUGUAGCUAACUGUUGGUGUGGGGUGGCUUUUGGAGGUUCUGUAUCUGUUGUAUUUCAAGAGAUUUCUUAUACCGGAAUUAAUGCAACAGGUGAUACGAAUACCUUUGAAGAAAGAAGCUCAAGCUACUUCUCAAUUAUUGAUAGCAACUUAGAAGAUGGUAUAUCUGUAUACAUGAAUUAUGGAUCUAUGAUCACAGUACGUUGUAAUUGAUUUGUCGUAUAUAUAGAUAACCACUAUUUUUUAUAGAAAAUUACUGAUAAGUGUCAUUUUGAAACUUUAAUUAGCCAUAAAGCCACCUAAUUUUUCUUGUACAUAUAAGGUCACUUGCAUCUUCAAAUUAUUUUUUCUGACCAUUUUGCCCUUCAUAAAAGAAAACCAACUACAUCAUUCAUUCUCUCUCUAUUGCAAAAAAAGAAAAUCAUUCUCUCUCUCUCUCUCUCUCACCCCCCCCCCCCCCGACAAGAAAACCCUUCCUCAUGAUCUUGUUCAGCUCCGACAGCAUCCUUCCUCACCACCUCGCUCGGCUCCGGCAGCACAGGACAGUCGGAUGCGACAACUCCGUCGUCGAUUCCAUUCUCCAUUACAGUUCUCAGUCGGAGACGAGUUGGAGUAGUUCGACCUCGAAUCUUCAAAUCCAAACGGCAAACCCAUCGCCGCAUCGUCCAACUCCGGCAACCUGACGGUCCCGCGACGCGAGGCGAGGAGGCUGAAGACGAAGCUUCAAAGGAUGAGAUCGAGAUUGCAAAGAGCUCUCAACUGCCUGAGAUUCAUCGGCACCGUCUUCCUCAUCACCAGACCGCAACCACUUUAGCUUCAUCUACCUUUGCUAUAGAGGCAGAGUAUCAGAUCACUCAUUCGGUGGCUAGAGAAAACAUAUAAAGUGUGGUUGGUGUAGUGUUGUGGGGCGCCAAAACAAGAAAACAUGUACAAAGCAAAACUGCCAGUAGCACUUCAACAGUUGAAAUAGCUUUUUACAACAUUGGCAAUAACUUUCUACAAUAUUGGAUAGCAUUGGUAGUAGCUUUGUACAGCAGUGGCAAAGUUUCUUACAUUGAAAAAUGAUAGUAGCAUUACAACAUUAACGGUAGCUUUAUACAACUAUUGUAAUAGAUUUUCACAACAAUGGUAGUGACUUUUUACAACUAUGGAAGUAGUUUUUUACAUAGAUAUAUCAUUAUUGAACCCUAGAUACUUUUUGUAUCAUUGAAUAUGAUUUCUUUCCUCGAUUGUAGUAGCAUUUUUUUUUUGGUUGUAUCUUUUAUAUUUCUAUGGCUUUGUUAAUCUCUAAAAAUAACUUUCUCAGUCUUUGGGAGUAGCUUUUGUUCUACUUGGUAGUAGUUUUUGUUCUGCUUGGUGAUGGUGAGAGUAUCUUUUAUUACUGAUGAGAGUAACUUUCUAGUAUUGGUGACAGUAGUUUUUGUUCUGCUUGGUGAUGGUGAGAGUAGCUUUUAUUACUGAUGAGAGUAACUUUCUAGUAUUGGUGACAGUAGUUUUUGUUGUUGGUGAUGGUGACAGUAGCAAUUUGUUGCUGGUGAGAGUAUCUUUUUGUGUCGGUGACAAUAUCUUUUGUUGCUGGUGACAGUAGGUUUUGUGACCUCAUUGGAAAUCUCACCAGCGUGACUUUUGUUUGUGACAGUAGCUUUUGUUGCUGGUGAUAAUAGUUUUUAUGACAUCGCCAGAAAUCUCACCAGCAUAGCUUUUGUUGCUGGUGAUAGUAGUUUUUGUGACUUCACCAGAAAUCUCACCAGCGUAGCUUUUGUUGCUGGUGAUAGUAGCUUUUGUGACUUCGCCGGAAAUCUCACCAGCGUAUAUUUUAUUGCUGGUGAUAAUAGCUUUUAUUUGUAGUGAUAGUAGCUUUUGGGACCUCGCCCGAGGUUUCUGGAAAUCUCAUCAUAGUAGUUUUUGUUACUAGCCACAAUAGCUUUUGGUGUUAGUGACAGUAGCUUUUGUGGUCGCCGGAAGUUGGCCGAAGACUCGCCAAAGGCUGGCCAGAGUCCCACCGGAAGUUGGCAGGAGGUCUGCCGGAGACCUCGCCGGAGAGGAGAGAGAGAAUGGUUGUUAACAUUUUACUCUAGUGACAUUUAUGUAAAUAUAUUGAUUUUUAUAUCCAAAAUAUAACCCCAUUUUUAAUCUAGUGGCCUUAUGAGGGAAAAAAAUUAAUUGGUGGCCUUAUGGCUAA